CACACGACUCUCGGCAACGGAUAUCUCGGCUCUCGCAUCGAUGAAGAACGUAGCGAAAUGCGAUACCUGGUGUGAAUUGCAGAAUCCCGCGAACCAUCGAGUCUUUGAACGCAAGUUGCGCCCGAGGCCACUCGGCCGAGGGCACGCCUGCCUGGGCGUCAUGC
rnacentral:rRNA from 4 species